rnacentral:tRNA from 1 species
GGGCGUUUAACUCAGCUGGUAGAGUACUCGCUUGACGUGCGAGAUGUCAGGGAUUCGAGUUCCUUAACGCCCA